rnacentral:rRNA from 1 species
UACGGGGGUCGCAAGCGUUAAGCGGAAUCACUGGGCGUAAAGGGUGCGUAGGCGGUGCAUUAGGACUGUCGUGAAAUCCCCGGGCUCAACCUGGGAAUGGCGGUGGAAACCGGUGUACUAGAGUAUGGGAGAGGGUGGUGGAAUUCCAGGUGUAGCGGUGAAAUGCGUAGAGAUCUGGAGGAACAUCAGUGGCGAAGGCGGCCACCUGGCCCAAUACUGACGCUGAGGCACGAAAGCGUGGGGAGCAAACAGG